UACGUAGGGGGCUAGCGUUGUCCGGAUUUAUUGGGCGUAAAGAGCGUGUAGGCGGCCAGAUAGGUCUGCUGUGAAAACUCGAGGCUCAACCUCGAGCUGUCGGCGGAAACCAUUUGGCUAGAGUCCGGAAGAGGAGAGUGGAAUUCCUGGUGUAGCGGUGAAAUGCGCAGAUAUCAGGAAGAACACCCGUGGCGAAAGCGGCUCUCUGGAACGGUACUGACGCUGAGACGCGAAAGCGUGGGGAGCGAACAGG
rnacentral:rRNA from 1 species